rnacentral:lncRNA from 1 species
CUCCAGGAAUCCCUUCAGAGCACUUUAUUUUCAGGCGAGCACCGGGCGCUCUACAGACCUAGACCUGGGCUGUGGAAAGGGAAGAGCAGAGCGGAUGGGUUACGCAGAGGAUGCUCAGGCUGAGCCUCGGGGUCUGGCGCUCCUGGACUCUGCUGAGGGCUGACAGGGAAGGACAGGUGCCUUCCUCUGAGCCCGGCUUUGAACAGAUCUGGUACCAAGGCGAGAGGAACAGCUUGAUGACUCUAAUUUCAAAAAGGGACAGUGAGAAACUCGGGUGCUUUGGUGAAAAGGGCUCAUUUGUGGAGUUACUUUGCAAAAUCACAUGGUUCGUAAACUCCAGGUAAACAUUUUAACUUCAAAUCUCUUCACAUGGGAAGGAAACUCCCAUCCAUGAAGAAAUUUUAUCCAUGGGGUAGAAGACAGUUUCAUGGAAUUCUCAUCAUUUGCAUAGCUUUAAAAAAAAACACCAGAAAAGAAUUAAGUCUCGCUGUCACAGAAGACUCUAAAUGGAGCUUUUAUUCGAAGAAUAUAUUAAGAGGUAGGAUGGUUGCAUAAAGGUUGCAAUAGGAUUGGAAUUUCUAAACUAUUGCUUUCUCGCGUACUGGGUCUGGACAAGCCAGGCAGUGCUUUAGUGCCUCUGUGCCCUUGCCUAUGAGAUAUUAUUGAAACACUUUCACUAUGACAGUGGACAAGAAUAUAUAAUGGAGGACUAUUGUAAACUCACAUUGUAGAUUAUUAUUGGAGCGCUGAUAAAGCCUACGAGUUAGUGGUAGGGUAAAAGAAUACUAGAAAAGAGUUCCUGGAAUACAAAGUAAAAACUACAGAUUCUCUGAGGAGCAGGACAACAGUGUGGUAAGAACGAGGAACCAGGGGGCAGUACAGGAUCUGCUCUCCAAUCCUAUUGUUCUGAUCUCAUCUUCCCACCUCAUUCUAUUCCAGAUUCAUUGGCCUCCUUGCUGUUUCUAGAAUAUACUAAUGAUGCUUGGAAUAACAUUCCAUAUACCAGCAUGCCUUCCUGCCUUCAGAUGUCUGCUCAAAUGUGACUUCAUUGCAGAGGCUUGCCCCUGUGAUCCUGCAAAAAAUGCCUCUCACUCACUCACAUCAACUUUCAUCUCUUUAACUGUUUUAUUUUAUUUUACUACCACAUGACAUUUGCUUCCCAUGAAAACAGAAGCCUCAUGAGAGCAGGAACUUUGUUUAUUGCUGUAGUACCAGAAUCUAUAGUGUAUGGAUGGAAAUGAUUGAAUAAACUGGAAUAGGGACAGAAUACCUGGGUUCCAGGCCUUCCUCACUGUGUUAACAUGGACAAGACAGGACAAGAGAUAGUAUAUAUUUUUUUUGCUUAGUAGUUGUAAAGAUUAAGGGAAGAAGGAAGAAACAUUUAGGAACACCUACUACUAAGCAAAGUAAUUUUCAUUAAGUUUCAUAUCAAUCUGAUAAAUAUUAGUACUCCCAUUUUACAGAUUAACUGCAUCUAAGAGAGUUUGUGACUUCUGUAAAAUCUAGUGCUAUUAAAGUGUGCAAAAUAAAGAUUAAAUAUAUCACAUGUAAAUGCAAGCUAUUUUUAUAAUCAAACUAGUUACACUUUAUCGUUUUUCCUUUUUGUGGAAAAGAGGGUCUGCUAUAUUGCCCAGGCAGGCCUUGAGCUCCUGAGCUCCAGCUAUCCUCCCACCUCUGUCUCCCUAAGUGCUGGGAUUAUGGGCAUGAGCCACCACAUCUGACUGAUCAAAUUAGUAAUGAAAUUAAUAAAUAACUACUUUUAAUAAACCAUCUAUAAUUUACUAGAUAAAAAUUGUAUAUAGAUAGGCCAGUUUCUUCAUUUUUAUAACUUUAGGCAUGGAAUAAGACAAG